ensembl:lncRNA
CUCAGAGCACAGCAACACUUGAAUAAACAUGAAAUGUCCCUGGAAAGAACACUCCAGAAGCUACUGCCAAGUGACAGAUGGAUGAGUUGAAAGGUUGCAACAAGGGAGAGGAACAGAAGGACAUGUUCAUUAAUGCAAAAUACAAGGAGAGAGCAGGGAGAGCCAGUUCUUGAGGAGGCAGAAGCAAGACGAUACUUUCUCAGAAACAGAGUGCUGCUGCCAGGAAAGAUGGCAAUACAGCAUGGCAACAAGAAUAUCAAAAACAGAGGUCAGGAGACAGCGAUCUUGGCCCAGGAAUCCAUCUGCUGCUGCUGCUUUGAACACUGUGAUUGUGAAGAGAAGCCUCCCCAGGAAGAGAAGGGUCUUAGAAAUCUCCUCCACAAGUCGACAUGGCCACUUUUCCAAGAAGCAAAGCAGUUUUGCAAGAAACUUCAACAAGAGGACUUUCUAGCUACAGCUAUGGGUCAAUUGCUUGCAAGGAUUGCACAAGCAGAGAGAAGGGAAGAGACAAGAUAAAAAAGAUAACAAAACAGUCAUUUCACUUUAAUCAAAUCCUUUCUUGAGGCCUGAGAAACUUUCUAUUACUGUGUGCAUGUUUGUUUGUUUUUUUUUUUAAUUUCCAUUUCCAUUUGCUUGUACACUUGUGACUUGCAGCUGACACUACAAGCAGUACUGCCAAAACACCAUGGGAAACACCAUACCUUCUAUUUUUCUGACCGCACAGUAAUAUCCUGAAGAAGAAACAAACUGGUUUUCAUGAAAGUUUCUAUCUGAGGCCAGGCUGGGUCACAUACUAGUUUGCCCUGUUGCCAGCACCAGAUAAAGAAGAAAAAGAGUAAGCCUUUCUGCAGGGUGAGGAGAAAUUCAGGGGUAAUUCUCAAAUUUAUGAUUGGCCAUAAAAGUACUUUUUCACUUUUGCUUUUAGGUACAGCUUACAAUGGCUGCUCAUCUACUUUCAGGCAUAGUAGUGGGUGGUCACCACAGUCAGGUCAUGGGUAGCGACUGUUGGUUACUGCAUAUCACAAUUGUUUCUUUUUUUCCCUUUUGUCAAGAACAAAAGGUCAGAAAACUUUAAUGUCUCUGAAUACAUUAAUUCAAGCCUGUUAAAUUACUACUCUGUCCAUUUAAUCUCAGAAGUAUUUUCUAAAAAUGCAUGUGUCACUUAAUGUGUUACUUUAUUUAGAAGCAAACAAAUAUUUUUUUUCUGGAGAUUAAUGAGUGCCAGUUAUAUAAGCUGCAGCAUUUACCACUAUUUGGCUACAGCAGACAGAAAAUGAAGUUCUUAUAUGAACAAGAAGAACAGUUAUCAUGGCCUAUUAAAGAUUGUCAAAUUUUGUUAUCAUUCUUCCUCUUAUCCCUCC